UAACAAUGAUGUGGGCAAUCUCUAAGUAGCUUCUUGUAUCUUUUCCAUGCUUGACGAAGUGUCUCACCAUACCGUUGUUCGAACCUAAGAAUCUGACUCCUCAAUGA
rnacentral:snoRNA from 1 species